rnacentral:rRNA from 1 species
AGAGCGAACGCUGGCGGCAGGCUUAACACAUGCAAGUCGAGCGGAAAGGCCCUUCGGGGUACUCGAGCGGCGAACGGGUGAGUAACACGUGAGCAAUCUGCCCUUAGCUUCGGGAUAGCUCCGGGAAACCGGAAUUAAUACCGGAUAUGACUAUGGCUGACAUCAGCCACGGUGGAAAGUUUUCGGCUAGGGAUGAGCUCGCGGCCUAUCAGCUAGUUGGUGGGGUAACGGCCUACCAAGGCGACGACGGGUA